rnacentral:rRNA from 1 species
GAAUUUUGGACAAUGGGGGCAACCCUGAUCCAGCCAUGCCGCGUGAGUGAAGAAGGCCUUCGGGUUGUAAAGCUCUUUCAGCCGGGAAGAAAACGUGGUCUCUAACAUAGGCCAUGGAUGACGGUACCGGACGAAGAAGCCCCGGCUACCUACGUGCCAGCAGCCGCGGUAAUACGUAGGGUGCGAGCGUUAAUCGGAAUUACUGGGCGUAAAGCGUGCGCAGGCGGGUUUGUAAGACAGAUGUGAAAUCCCCGGGCUUAACCUGGGAACUGCGUUUGUGACUGCAAGGCUAGAGUACGGCAGAGGGGGGUGGAAUUCCUGGUGUAGCAGUGAAAUGCGUAGAUAUCAGGAGGAACACCGAUGGCGAAGGCAGCCCCCUGGGCCUGUACUGACGCUCAUGCACGAAAGCGUGGGGAGCAAACAGG